rnacentral:rRNA from 1 species
CAUUAAAGAGUUCUAUAACUCCCAAACCCAUGUGAACAUACCUAACGUUGCCUCGGCAGGUCGCACCUACCUUGUAGCACCCUACCCUGUAGGGCCUACCCGGGAGGUGCGGGUAAGCCUGCCGGCGGCCCACCAAACUCUGUUUGAUAUUGAAUUCUGAACCUAUAACUAAAUAAGUUAAAACUUUCAACAACGGAUCUCUUGGUUCUGGCAUCGAUGAAGAACGCAGCGAAAUGCGAUAAGUAAUGUGAAUUGCAGAAUUCAGUGAAUCAUCGAAUCUUUGAACGCAUAUUGCGCCCAUUAGUAUUCUAGUGGGCAGGACCGUUCGAGCGUCAUUUCAACCCUUAAGCCUUCGUUGCUUAGUGUUGGGAGCCUACGGCAACGUAGCUCCUCAAAGUUAGUGGCGGAGUUGGUUCACACUCUAGACGUAGUAAUUUUUUAUCUCGCCUAUUAGUUGGACUAAUCCCCUGCCGUAAAACCCCCAAUUUAUCAAGGUUGACCUCGAAUCGGUUCAGACAAACUCGCUAAAUUGAAGCAUCUUAGUCAGCGAAGGAAAAGAAACCAACAGGGAUUGCCCUAGUAACGGCGAGUGAAGCGGCAACAGCUCAAAUUUGAAAUCUGGCCCUCGGGUCCGAGUUGUAAUUUGUAGAGGAUGCUUUUGGCGCGGUGCCUUCCGAGUUCCCUGGAACGGGACGCCUUAGAGGGUGAGAGCCCCGUACGGUUGGACACCAAGCCUCUGUAAAGCUCCUUCGACGAGUCGAGUAGCUUGGGAAUGCUGCUCUAAAUGGGAGGUAAAUUUCUUCUAAAGCUAAAUAUUGGCCAGA